UACGUAGGGUGCAAGCGUUAAUCGGAAUUACUGGGCGUAAAGCGUGCGCAGGCGGCUUUGCAAGACAGAUGUGAAAUCCCCGGGCUUAACCUGGGAACUGCAUUUGUGACUGCAUGGCUAGAGUGCGGCAGAGGGGGAUGGAAUUCCGCGUGUAGCAGUGAAAUGCGUAGAUAUGCGGAGGAACACCGAUGGCGAAGGCGGCUUCCUGGACCGACACUGACGCUGAGGCGCGAAAGCGUGGGGAGCAAACAGG
rnacentral:rRNA from 1 species